rnacentral:rRNA from 1 species
GACGAACGCUGGCGGCGUGCUUAACACAUGCAAGUCGAACGGAAAGGCCCUGCUUUUGUGGGGUGCUCGAGUGGCGAACGGGUGAGUAACACGUGAGUAACCUGCCCUUUACUUUGUGAUAACUUCAGGAAACUGGGGCUAAUACCGGAUAGGAGCUCCUGCUGCAUGGUGGGGGUUGGAAAGUUUCGGCGGUUGGGGAUGGACUCGCGGCUUAUCAGCUUGUUGGUGGGGUAGUGGCUUACCAAGGCUUUGACGGGUAGCCGGCCUGAGAGGGUGACCGGCCACAUUGGGACUGAGAUACGGACCAGACUCCUACGGGAGGCAGCAGUGGGGAAUAUUGCACAAUGGGCGGAAGCCUGAUGCAGAAACGCCGCGUGCGGGAUGACGGCCUUCGGGUUGUAAACCGCUUUCGCCUGUGACGAAGCGUGAGUGACGGUAAUGGGUAAAGAAGCACCGGCUAACUACGUG